AAUAUUGGACAAUGGGCGAAAGCCUGAUCCAGCCAUGCCGCGUGUGUGAAGAAGGUCUUCGGAUUGUAAAGCACUUUAAGUUGGGCGGAAGGGCAGUAAGUUAAUACCUUGCUGUUUUGACGUUACCGGCAGAAUAAGCACCGGCUAACUUCGUGCCAGCAGCCGCGGUAAUACCGCGGGUGCAAGCGUUAAUCGGAAUUACUGGGCGUAAAGAGCGCGUAGGUGGUUUGUUAAGUUGGAAGGGAAAGCCCCGGGCUCAACCUGGGAACUGCUUUCAUAACUGCUGAGCUAGAGUACGGUAGAGGGUAGUGGAAUUUCCUGUGUAGCGGUGAAAUGCGUAGAUAUAGGAAGGAACACCAGUGGCGAAGGCGACUACCUGGACUGAUACUGACACUGAGGUGCGAAAGCGUGGGGAGCAAAC
rnacentral:rRNA from 1 species